rnacentral:rRNA from 1 species
GACGAACGCUGGCGGCGUGCUUAACACAUGCCAGUCGAACGGAAAGGCCCUGCUUUUGUGGGGUGCUCGAGUGGCGAACGGGUGAGUAACACGUGAGUAACCUGCCCUUGACUUUGGGAUAACUUCAGGAAACUGGGGCUAAUACCGGAUAGGAGCUCCUGCUGCAUGGUGGGGGUUGGAAAGUUUCGGCGGUUGGGGAUGGACUCGCGGCUUAUCAGCUUGUUGGUGGGGUAGUGGCUUACCAAGGCUUUGACGGGUAGCCGGCCUGAGAGGGUGACCGGCCACAUUGGGACUGAGAUAGGGCCCAGACUCGUACGGGAGGCAGCAGUGGGGAAUAUUGCACAAUGGGCGGAAGCCUGAUGCAGCAACGCCGCGUGCGGGAUGACGGCCUUCGGGUUGUAAACCGCUUUCGCCUGUGACGAAGCGUGAGUGACGGUAAUGGGUAAAGAAGCACCGGCUAACUACGUG